ACGGAGGCCUGUUUUUAAAUGUAGUGCGCUUAGUGAAUAUAUACUGGAAACGUAUAUCGGCAUUCAUUAAAUUAACACCAUGAUAAUGCUUUAUAUGCCUUCAACUUCUUUUAUAAUUGAAACAUUUAACUAUCUGAGAUGGAAAAGGAAUCUAUUUUUAACAUGCACUUGUGCCACAGAAAGUGUAAUUUAAUUACUAUUAUUAAUAAUGUUAUUAUUAUUAUUUGGAACUCUGCUUUGUAUUUCAGUUACAGGUUUGUUACUGCUUAAUACAUUCAGAUAAAACAAAAAAAAGUUAUUUUUUCAACUGCUUAAGUGCCCAAGUAAUUCACUACAUGACAUAAAGCCUUGCUUUUGUAAUUUAACUUCAAACCAGUUGGCAGAUGAAGCAUGCACUCAACUAUGAAAAAGUAUUUUAUAUUACUGUUUAAUAAAAAAUGUGCAUGUAUUUCAACUUAAAUGAAACUGUUUAUUUGUGUGUGGUAUAUUCCUAUUCUCAGAUUUCAAGUCAAUGUAAACAUAAAAAAUAAAAAAUGUAUUACAUCCUAAAUAUAUACACUUUUGGAAAUGUUUUAAUGAUGAUUUACAUGGUGUACGCCAAAACAUUCAUAAUGAGCUCUUCAUAAAUUAUUAUAUAUAGCAUACUAUUUAUUUCAGAAAUUGGAUUUCAUAGCUGCCUCCCAAAAAGCAUGUAUCUCUCUAGUCACUGGAACUUAAGAGACUUGGCUUAAAGGAGAAUUCUGCUUUUUACAACCAAAUCUCAAUUUUUGAUGUAAAUGGGACUUUGAUGUAGCUGUUCCAUUAUUAGUAGCCAUAUUAUAAGUUCAAUAUUUGCAAAACAACCAGUUUUCAUAACUUCAUAACUCUGAAUAUUCUUAUAAUUCUUGUCCAAAAGGAAAAGGCAUGCUGUAACAAUAGGUUAGCACCUACAAUUUGCAACAUAUACAGGGUUUCCGGAUACUCCCGUAAAGCCAAGCUCAUUGGCUAUCGAGCUAACUUG
rnacentral:lncRNA from 1 species